GGAGGAAUGGGUGAGUGGCUGAAACCACCAGUUUGCUAAACUGACGUACUUCGAAAGGGGUACCGCGGGUUCGAAUCCCGCUUCCUCCGCCA
rnacentral:tRNA from 4 species